UGGGGAAUAUUGCACAAUGGGCGCAAGCCUGAUGCAGCCAUGCCGCGUGUGUGAAGAAGGCCUUCGGGUUGUAAAGCACUUUCAGCGAGGAGGAAAGGUGGUGAGCUUAAUACGCUCAUCAAUUGACGUUACUCGCAGAAGAAGCACCGGCUAACUCCGUGCCAGCAGCCGCGGUAAUACGGAGGGUGCAAGCGUUAAUCGGAAUUACUGGGCGUAAAGCGCACGCAGGCGGUUUGUUAAGUCAGAUGUGAAAUCCCCGGGCUCAACCUGGGAACUGCAUUUGAAACUGGCAAGCUAGAGUCUCGUAGAGGGGGGUAGAAUUCCAGGUGUAGCGGUGAAAUGCGUAGAGAUCUGGAGGAAUACCGGUGGCGAAGGCGGCCCCCUGGACGAAGACUGACGCUCAGGUGCGAAAGCGUGGGGCAGCAAACAGGAUUAGAUACCCUGGUAGUCCACGCUGUAAACGAUGUCGAUUUUGGAGGUUGUGCCCUUGAGGCGUGGCUUCCGGAGCUAACGCGUUAAAGUCGACCGCCUGGGGAGUACGG
rnacentral:rRNA from 1 species